rnacentral:rRNA from 1 species
GAUGAACGCUGGCGGCGUGCCUAAUACAUGCAAGUCGAGCGAACAGACGAGGAGCUUGCUCCUCUGACGUUAGCGGCGGACGGGUGAGUAACACGUGGAUAACCUACCUAUAAGACUGGGAUAACUUCGGGAAACCGGAGCUAAUACCGGAGAAUAUAUUGAACCGCAUGGUUCAAUAGUGAAAGACGGUUUUGCUGUCACUUAGAGAUGGAUCCGCGCCGCAUUAGCUAGUUGGUAAGGUAACGGCUUACCAAGGCAACGAUGCGUAGCCGACCUGAGAGGGUGAUCGGCCACACUGGAACUGAGACACGGUCCAGACUCCUACGGGAGGCAGCAGUAGGGAAUCUUCCGCAAUGGGCGAAAGCCUGACGGAGCAACGCCGCGUGAGUGAUGAAGGUCUUCGGAUCGUAAAACUCUGUUAUUAGGGAAGAACAAAUGUGUAAGUAACUAUGCACGUCUUGACGGUACCUAAUCAGAAAGCCACGGCUAACUACGUG